rnacentral:rRNA from 1 species
CACGAACGCUGGCGGCAGGCUUAACACAUGCAAGUCGAGCGCCCCGCAAGGGGAGCGGCAGACGGGUGAGUAACGCGUGGGAAUCUACCCAUCUCUACGGAAUAACGCAUGGAAACGUGUGCUAAUACCGUAUACGUCCUUCGGGAGAAAGAUUUAUCGGAGAUGGAUGAGCCCGCGUUGGAUUAGCUAGUUGGUGGGGUAAAGGCCUACCAAGGCGACGAUCCAUAGCUGGUCUGAGAGGAUGAUCAGCCACACUGGGACUGAGACACGGCCCAUACUCCGACGGGAGGCAGCAGUGGGGAAUAUUGGACAAUGGGCGCAAGCCUGAUCCAGCCAUGCCGCGUGAGUGAUGAAGGCCCUAGGGUUGUAAAGCUCUUUCACCGGUGAAGAUAAUGACGGUAACCGGAGAAGAAGCCCCGACUAACUCCGUGCCAGCCGCCGCGGUAACAC